AUGUUCACGACGGAGACGGCAACAACUAGUUGCAACGGCGCGGUGCAGUACAAUACAGUAUGCGUGGUGGCCGUGGGGCGUUUCCGCAUGCAGGCGCCACCGCCCUGUCGGGGUAAACUAGACAAAUAUAAAAUUUUCCCCUACAAAACAGAGUGCAAGGCGUGGACGCGGCUCCUCCACACGAAGGACCAUGGUUGAAUGGCUUGCGUUCAUCGUCACAACGAUGAUGAUGAUUUCAUGGAUCCACCACAGCAUAAUCGGGCAACUGGACGGAGAAAAAAGGGCGAUGAGAAGAAGAAAUGUAUUCGCAACAGAGCCUCCCAAGAACGACUAACUACAUUGACUGACAGAUUUACCGACGAUCAGAAGGGAGCUGCUGCUGAGAUGGCGUCUGGCCGGCUGAGCACUGCAGAAAAAGGGAAGAAGCCAGUGGUUGAGGAAUCUGAAAUGGAGUCGUCCGACAGUGAUGAAAAUGAGCAGGAACGAGCGACAGUGGCAGGCAGUGGUGUGGCGAGGCAUAAUGGCGGUGUGAGCACAACUGCAAGGGCUGAACAUACGGGGGCAAGGGCUGUUGUUGUCAACAGUACGACAAGUUGCACGGCUGAAAUUGACAAUAUUCUACAAGAGGUUACAGCGAUGCAAGGCGCUUGUCAGGUGGAGGGGGUAACUACUGAAAAAUUAGGGCACGAAGGUAUAACUGGAACUCAGUAUCCGCCUAUAGCUGUGAAACAGGAGGAUGAUGGCGCACUGAGAGCUGUGGUUGACACAGAAGUUUUGAAUGUGGUCGACAUUGACAUAGAUUGCACGAGGCAGCUUCAGAAUGAGCUUUAUGAAGAAUAUGUGAUUGAGGAAGUAUCCCGGCUGUCAACAGUUGUGUAUGUCAUCGACAAUGAUAGCAAUAAUGAUGGUGCAUUUGAAGAAUGGUCGGACCCUGAGCAUGAUCUGUUAGUAGAGAUUGACAGGAGGCUCAGGGAGCAAGAGGUGAGGGAUGAGGGUGUUGCAAAAAAGUACCAAGAAGAUGAAGAAAAGAAGGUGAACGAGCAGGAAGAGAAGGAUGCAGAGCUUGCGAGGAGCGCUGUCACCGCGUAUCUGUCUCGGGAGUUCCCCUACGAGCUCUCCACGGGCGACAUGCUCCUCACCGCCGGCUGCAACCACGCCAUCAAGAUCAUGAUGGUCGUGCUGGCCUCGCCCGUCGCCGACGUGCUGCUGCCACAACCGGGACACCCAAUGUACGAGUCUCAUGCUGCGCUGCGCGGCCUUGAGUUCCGGCGUGCAGGUCAGCGGCAACGCUAG
rnacentral:rRNA from 1 species